GACGAGAGGCCCGAGCGUUAAUCGGAAUCACUGGGCUUAAAGGGUGCGUCGGCGGACCUGAAGGUGUGCCGUGAAAUCCCCCGGCUCAACCGGGGAAUUGCGGUGCAAACCACAGGUCUUGAGGUAGGUAGAGGUCGUCGGAACGUUCGGUGGAGCGGUGAAAUGCGUAGAUAUCGAACGGAACGCCAAAGGUGAAGACAGGCGACUGGGCCUUACCUGACGCUGAGGCACGAAAGCGUGGGGAGCAAACAGG
rnacentral:rRNA from 1 species